rnacentral:rRNA from 1 species
CUUUUGAUGGCGACCGGCGCACGGGUGAGUAACACGUAUCCAACCUGCCUCAUACUCGGGGAUAGCCUUUCGAAAGAAAGAUUAAUACCCGAUGUUAUAGUCCUACCGCAUGAUGGGAUUAUUAAAGAAUUUCGGUAUGGGAUGGGGAUGCGUUCCAUUAGUUAGUUGGCGGGUAACGGCCCACCAAGACAACGAUGGAUAGGGGUUCUGAGAGGAAGGUCCCCCACAUUGGAACUGAGACACGGUCCAAACUCCUACGGAAGGCAGCAG